CAGGACGAACGCUGGCGGCGUGCUUAACACAUGCAAGUCGAGCGGAAAGGCCCUUUCGGGGGUACUCGAGCGGCGAACGGGUGAGUAACACGUGAGUAAUCUGCCCUUGGCUUUGGGAUAACUACCGGAAACGGUGGCUAAUACCGAAUACGACCACUCCUUACAUGAGGUGGUGGUGGAAAGUUUUUUCGGCCAGGGAUGUGCUCGCGGCCUAUCAGCUUGUUGGUGGGGUAAUGGCCUACCAAGGCUUCGACGGGUAGCCGGCCUGAGAGGGUGACCGGCCACGCUGGGACUGAGACACGGCCCAGACUCCUACGGGAGGCAGCAGUGGGGAAUAUUGGACAAUGGGCGGAAGCCUGAUCCAGCAACGCCGCGUGAGGGAUGACGGCCUUCGGGUUGUAAACCUCUUUCAGUACCGACGAAGCGCCGAUGAUGGUGGUGACGGUAGGUACAGAAGAAGCACCGGCCAACUACGUG
rnacentral:rRNA from 1 species